rnacentral:rRNA from 1 species
GAUGAACGCUAGCUACAGGCUUAACACAUGCAAGUCGAGGGGAAACGACAUCGAAAGCUUGCUUUUGAUGGGCGUCGACCGGCGCACGGGUGAGUAACGCGUAUCCAACCUGCCCACCACUUGGGGAUAACCUUGCGAAAGUAAGACUAAUACCCAAUGAUAUCUCUAGAAGACAUCUGAAAGAGAUUAAAGAUUUAUCGGUGAUGGAUGGGGAUGCGUAUGAUUAGCUUGUUGGCGGGGUAACGGCAUACCAAGGCGACGAUGGGUAGGGGUCCUGAGAGGGAGAUCCCCCACACCGGUACUGAGACACGGACCAGACUCCUACGGGAGGCAGCAGUGAGGAAUAUUGGACAAUGGGCGCAAGCCUGAUCCAGCCAUGCCGCGUGCAGGAUGACUGCCCUAUGGGUUGUAAACUGCUUUUGUACAGGAAGAAACCCUUCUACGAGUAGAAGAUUGACGGUACUGUAAGAAUAAGGAUCGGCUAACUCCGUGCCAGCCGCCGCAGUAA